GUUCCCUCUACCCACUGCGGUGGCCAUCCAAGGUAAGAGGUGCCAAAGGCACCCGCCGCCGCCUUCCGCAAGGAAGAGGGUAGAGGAGGAGGA
rnacentral:ncRNA from 1 species